UGGCUCUCGCAUCGAUGAAGAACGCAGCGAAAUGCGAUAAGUAAUGUGAAUUGCAGAAUUCAGUGAAUCAUCGAAUCUUUGAACGCAAAUUGCGCCCUUUGGUAUUCCGAAGGGCAUGCCUGUUUGAGUGUCAUAUAGACCUCACCCAGACUGGUUUUCUAAUCAGCCUGCUGGUGCUUUGGACGUUUUGCCGGAUUCACGUCUGGCUCGUCUUAAAUGUCUAAGUGGAAAAGAGCGUGAUAAGUCUUCGCUCCAUCCCUCCACUCUAAUACACCUUUUGACUCUGGCCUCAAAUCAGGUAGGACUACCCGCUGA
rnacentral:misc_RNA from 1 species